UACGUAGGGUGCAAGCGUUGUCCGGAAUUAUUGGGCGUAAAGAGCUCGUAGGCGGCUUGUUGCGUCGGAUGUGAAAGCCCGGGGCUUAACCCCGGGUCUGCAUUCGAUACGGGCAGGCUAGAGUGUGGUAGGGGAGAUCGGAAUUCCUGGUGUAGCGGUGAAAUGCGCAGAUAUCAGGAGGAACACCGGUGGCGAAGGCGGAUCUCUGGGCCAUUACUGACGCUGAGGCACGAAAGCCAGGGUAGCAAACGGG
rnacentral:rRNA from 1 species